UGAUGAGCGAGUCGAGCCAUGAUAGAGCUCAUGAAAUCUGCGGUGAUGGGUGGUGCGGCUUCAGGCGUAGGGGUUGGUUCUCUGCCCGGAGCGCCGAAUGUGGCGUCGUCUUGAGCCAUAUAGAUCUAGAACGUUACUUUAGUCAGCCCCACGGUGGGCGCCAAUUGUUUGAACGGGAUUCAGUCGACUAGGUUGAAAGAACUCGGAAAUGGGAUGACUAAAGACGUUUUAUUAGAUUUGAACCAAAGGGUUACAAGAGUGACAAGAAAGUGAGAAAGACAACCCAGAAAUCUCAAAGCCACAAGAUCAAAGAGAUGACUAAAACCCUAGAUCUAGCCGCUCA
rnacentral:lncRNA from 1 species